rnacentral:lncRNA from 1 species
UCCCUCAAUUACAUGAUAACGCUACUGCAAUUUUCUUCAAAGGCAUCAAAUUUCCACUCUAGUAAACAUAGUUUCAGAACUGAACUCCUCCUUUAUUAUUUCAGAACUAGGACUCAGAUAAUUUCAUCAAAAUUAUACAAUUCGAAAAUAAGUUACAUUACAAUGACCAUCCAAUUCCAAGGCUUAAUAUGGAUGCAAUUAAGCUCCUAAACCAAAAACAAAAGCAGCACUAUUCACAACACACAAGAUCAUUCAAGUCAUGAAGAAUUACAGCACAUGUCUGUGUACAUCCUGAAUAUGUAUCAUUUAAUUUCAAUUUUCCGAACAGGCAAAGCAAUAGGAAGCUAAAAUAAAGUGAAAGUUGGUGUUUUUACAGUCUCCGAGCUUGUUGGGAGUGGUUAUGGAAGCUUUGACGCAUAUUUUAAAGGGCGCAGAAGGCGGAGAAGAAGACAUUGAGAGUACUUUGAGGGCGCUAGAAUUCUU